UAGCCUAGUGGUUAAGGCUAUGGAUUCCCAAUCCGGAGACGGCGGGUUCGAUUCCCGU
rfam:Aedes albopictus isolate Foshan contig59257, whole genome shotgun sequence.